AUGUAGGCCAGAUGUCCCCUUCCUCCCUCAUCACUCCAUGUGUGUCCCUCCCAAAUCUGUGUGCUUGGUCAAGAGGACAACCUUCCCUGACAGAGGGGGAUGAUCUUCCCAAAUACAGGAGGACUGGUCUUAGGUCAAGGCUAUUGAAUAGCUGUGGUUUCCUCCUAGAACCUCCAAACAAGCUCUCAAGGUCCAUUUUUUUUUAAAUUUUAAAAAUAUUUUAUUUAUUAUUUUUUUAUAUGUAUGCGUGUAUUGCCUGCAUGUAGGUAAGUGCAC
rnacentral:sRNA from 1 species